rnacentral:rRNA from 1 species
UGGGGAAUUUUGGACAAUGGGGGAAACCCUGAUCCAGCCAUCCCGCGUGUGCGAUGAAGGCCUUCGGGUUGUAAAGCACUUUUGGCAGGAAAGAAACGUCGCGGGUUAAUACCCCGCGAAACUGACGGUACCUGCAGAAUAAGCACCGGCUAACUACGUGCCAGCAGCCGCGGUAAUACGUAGGGUGCAAGCGUUAAUCGGAAUUACUGGGCGUAAAGCGUGCGCAGGCGGUUCGGAAAGAAAGAUGUGAAAUCCCAGAGCUUAACUUUGGAACUGCAUUUUUAACUACCGGGCUAGAGUGUGUCAGAGGGAGGUGGAAUUCCGCGUGUAGCAGUGAAAUGCGUAGAUAUGCGGAGGAACACCGAUGGCGAAGGCAGCCUCCUGGGAUAACACUGACGCUCAUGCACGAAAGCGUGGGGAGCAAACAGGAUUAGAUACCCUGGUAGUCCACGCCCUAAACGAUGUCAACUAGCUGUUGGGGCCUUCGGGCCUUGGUAGCGCAGCUANCGCGGCUGAAGUUGACCGCCUGGGGAGUACGGUCGCAAGAGUUAAAACUCAAAGAAUUGAACGGGGAUCAUAGGCUGUUU